CAUGUUCGUGUUUAUACCAUCAGUGAUGUAAUGGCGAGAUUCAACAGAUUACGAGGGAAAGAGGUUAUACAUCCGAUGGGUUGGGAUGCAUUUGGUCUACCAGCAGAAAAUGCAGCAAUAGACAGAGAAAUAUAAGUAGUAUGAGGAAACAACUGGAUGAUCUUUUAUGCAGUUUUGAUUGGAACAGAGAAGUUACUACAUGUGAUCCCAACUAUUAUAAAUGGACACAGUUUAUUUUCUUGAAGA